rnacentral:piRNA from 1 species
UAGCGUGGCUUUGAACUCAGCUUGGAUGG